rnacentral:rRNA from 1 species
CGUGUCGUGAGAUGUUGGGUUAAGUCCCGCAACGAGCGCAACCCUUAUUACUAGUUGCCAGCAUUCAGUUGGGCACUCUAGUGAGACUGCCGGUGACAAACCGGAGAAAGGUGGGGAUGACGUCAAAUCAUCAUGCCCCUUAUGACCUGGGCUACACACGUGCUACAAUGGCGUAUACAACGAGUUGCCAACCCGCGAGGGUGAGCUAAUCUCUUAAAGUACGUCUCAGUUCGGAUUGUAGGCUGCAACUCGCCUACAUGAAGUCGGAAUCGCUAGUAAUCGCGGAUCAGCACGCCGCGGUGAAUACGUUCCCGGGUCUUGUACACACCGCCCGUCACACCAUGAGAGUUUGUAACACCCAAAGCCGGUGGGGUAACCUUCGGGAGCCAGCCGUCUAAGGUGGGACAGAUGAUUAGGGU